ACCAGGACUAAACCAGGACUAAACCAGGACUAAACCAGGACUAAACCAGGUCUAAACCAGGUCUAAACCAGGACUAAACCAGGUCUAAACCAGGACUAAACCAGGACUAAACCAGGUCUAAACCAGGUCUAAACCAGGACUAAACCAGGACUAAACCAGGACUAAACCAGGUCUAAACCAGGACUAAACCAGGACUAAACCAGGACUAAACCAGGUCUAAACCAGGUCUAAACCAGGACUAAACCAGGACUAAACCAGGACUAAACCAGGACUAAACCAGGACUAAACCAGGUCUAAACCAGGACUAAACCAGGACUAAACCAGGACUAAACCAGGACUAAACCAGGACUAAACCAGGUCUAAACCAGGACUAAACCAGGUCUAAACCAGGACUAAACCAGGACUAAACCAGGUCUAAACCAGGUCUAAACCAGGACUAAACCAGGACUAAACCAGGACUAAACCAGGACUAAACCAGGUCUAAACCAGGUCUAAACCAGG
ensembl:lncRNA